rnacentral:rRNA from 1 species
GAUGAACGCUGGCGGCGUGCCUAAUACAUGCAAGUCGAGCGAAUGGAUUAAGAGCUUGCUCUUAUGAAGUUAGCGGCGGACGGGUGAGUAACACGUGGGUAACCUGCCCAUAAGACUGGGAUAACUCCGGGAAACCGGGGCUAAUACCGGAUAACAUUUUGAACCGCAUGGUUCGAAAUUGAAAGGCGGCUUCGGCUGUCACUUAUGGAUGGACCCGCGUCGCAUUAGCUAGUUGGUGAGGUAACGGCUCACCAAGGCAACGAUGCGUAGCCGGCCUGAGAGGGUGAUCGGCCACACAGGGACUGAGACACGACCCAGAGUCCUACGGGAGGCAGCAGUAGGGAAUCUUCCGCAAUGGACGAAAGUCUGACGGAGCAACGCCGCGUGAGUGAUGAAGGCUUUCGGGUCGUAAAACUCUGUUGUUAGGGAAGAACAAGUGCUAGUUGAAUAAGCUGGCACCUUGACGGUACCUAACCAGAAAGCCACGGCUAACUACGUGCCAGCCGCCGCGGUAA